GAUGAACGCUGGCGGCGUGCCUAAUACAUGCAAGUAGAACGCUGAAGGAGGAGCUUGCUCUUCUGGAUGAGUUGCGAACGGGUGAGUAACGCGUAGGUAACCUGCCUGGUAGCGGGGGAUAACUAUUGGAAACGAUAGCUAAUACCGCAUGACAACAGUUAUUGCAUGAUAACUGUUUAAAAGGGGCAACUGCUCCACUACCAGAUGGACCUGCGUUGUAUUAGCUAGUUGGUGAGGUAACGGCUCACCAAGGCGACGAUACAUAGCCGACCGGAGAGGGUGAUCGGCCACACUGGGACUGAGACACGGCCCAGACUCCUACGGGAGGCAGCAGUAGGGAAUCUUCGGCAAUGGACGGAAGUCUGACCGAGCAACGCCGCGUGAGUGAAGAAGGUUGUCGGAUCGUAAAGCUCUGUUGUAAGAGAAGAACGAGUGUGAGAGUGGAAAGUUCACACUGUGACGGUAGCUUACCAGAAAGGGACGGCUAACUACGUG
rnacentral:rRNA from 1 species